rnacentral:rRNA from 1 species
UUUAUGGAGAGUUUGAUCCUGGCUCAGGAUGAACGCUGGCGGCGUGCCUAAUACAUGCAAGUCGAGCGAACGGACGAGAAGCUUGCUUCUCUGAUGUUAGCGGCGGACGGGUGAGUAACACGUGGAUAACCUACCUAUAAGACUGGGAUAACUUCGGGAAACCGGAGCUAAUACCGGAUAAUAUUUUGAACCGCAUGGUUCAAAAGUGAAAGACGGUCUUGCUGUCACUUAUAGAUGGAUCCGCGCUGCAUUAGCUAGUUGGUAAGGUAACGGCUUACCAAGGCAACGAUGCAUAGCCGACCUGAGAGGGUGAUCGGCCACACUGGAACUGAGACACGGUCCAGACUCCUACGGGAGGCAGCAGUAGGGAAUCUUCCGCAAUGGGCGAAAGCCUGACGGAGCAACGCCGCGUGAGUGAUGAAGGUCUUCGGAUCGUAAAACUCUGUUAUUAGGGAAGAACAUAUGUGUAAGUAACUGUGCACAUCUUGACGGUACCUAAUCAGAAAGCCACGGCUAACUACGUGCCAGCAGCCGCGGUAAUACGUAGGUGGCAAGCGUUAUCCGGAAUUAUUGGGCGUAAAGCGCGCGUAGGCGGUUUUUUAAGUCUGAUGUGAAAGCCCACGGCUCAACCGUGGAGGGUCAUUGGAAACUGGAAAACUUGAGUGCAGAAGAGGAAAGUGGAAUUCCAUGUGUAGCGGUGAAAUGCGCAGAGAUAUGGAGGAACACCAGUGGCGAAGGCGACUUUCUGGUCUGUAACUGACGCUGAUGUGCGAAAGCGUGGGGAUCAAACAGGAUUAGAUACCCUGGUAGUCCACGCCGUAAACGAUGAGUGCUAAGUGUUAGGGGGUUUCCGCCCCUUAGUGCUGCAGCUAACGCAUUAAGCACUCCGCCUGGGGAGUACGACCGCAAGGUUGAAACUCAAAGGAAUUGACGGGGACCCGCACAAGCGGUGGAGCAUGUGGUUUAAUUCGAAGCAACGCGAAGAACCUUACCAAAUCUUGACAUCCUUUGACAACUCUAGAGAUAGAGCCUUCCCUUCGGGGGACAAAGUGACAGGUGGUGCAUGGUUGUCGUCAGCUCGUGUCGUGAGAUGUUGGGUUAAGUCCCGCAACGAGCGCAACCCUUAAGCUUAGUUGCCAUCAUUAAGUUGGGCACUCUAAGUUGACUGCCGGUGACAAACCGGAGGAAGGUGGGGAUGACGUCAAAUCAUCAUGCCCCUUAUGAUUUGGGCUACACACGUGCUACAAUGGACAAUACAAAGGGCAGCGAAACCGCGAGGUCAAGCAAAUCCCAUAAAGUUGUUCUCAGUUCGGAUUGUAGUCUGCAACUCGACUACAUGAAGCUGGAAUCGCUAGUAAUCGUAGAUCAGCAUGCUACGGUGAAUACGUUCCCGGGUCUUGUACACACCGCCCGUCACACCACGAGAGUUUGUAACACCCGAAGCCGGUGGAGUAACCUUUUAGGAGCUAGCCGUCGAAGGUGGGACAAAUGAUUGGGGUGAAGUCGUAACAAGGUAGCCGUAUCGGAAGGUGCGGCUGGAUCACCUCCUUU